rnacentral:rRNA from 1 species
GUUGACCUCGGAUCAGGNAGGAAUAAACGC